rnacentral:rRNA from 1 species
GAUGAACGCUGGCGGCGUGCCUAAUACAUGCAAGUCGAGCGAACAGACGAGGAGCUUGCCCCUCUUACGGUAGCGGCGGACGGGUGAGGAACACGUGGAUAACCUACCUAUAAGACUGGGAUAACUUCGGGAAACCGGAGCUAAUACCGGAUAAUAUAUUGAACCGCAUGGUUCAAUAGUGAAAGACGGUUUUGCUGUCACCUAGAGAUGGAUCCGCGCUGCAUUAGUUAGUUGGUAAGGUAAAGGCCUACCAAGGCGACGAUGCGUAGCCGACCUGAGAGGGUGAUCGGCCACAUUGGAACUGAGACACGGCCCAGACUCCUACGGGAGGCAGCAGUAGGGAAUCUUCCGCAAUGGGCGAAAGCCUGACGGAGCAACGCCGCGUGAGUGAUGAAGGUCUUCGGAUCGUAAAACUCUGUUAUUAGGGAAGAACAAAUGUGUAAGUAACUAUGCACGUCUUGACGGUACCUAAUCAGAAAGCCACGGCUAACUACGUG